GUGGUAGGAUCAAGAUGCUGUUUUCUGUUCCAGCUCAUUUUGCGAACAAUGUUAUGUCACAGGUCACUUGGCUGUCCUUGGCUCAACUGUGAGUAAGGAGGAGUCCUGGGAAAUGAAAAAUGACUACCCAGAUUUGCCACCAAAAUCCAGCAGGAGUGCCUUAGAAAGCAGAGACAAGAGGACACAGACACACAGAGACGGCAUGUGAAGACAGGCAAGAUUGUGUGAUGCUGCCACGAGCCCAGGGAUGCUGGGAACCGGAAGCUGGAAGAGACAAGGAAGGAUUCUCCCUCUCAGGGUUGUUGUGGUGACCAGAGAAUGCAUUUGGAAGUGGCUUUGUAACCUCAGAGUGAUAAGCAAAUUCAAUAUUUGGAGUUGUGUUUUAUUUUCCAAAGGCCUCAGUAAACAUUUGUGGAACUG
rnacentral:lncRNA from 1 species